rnacentral:pre_miRNA from 1 species
UAUGGCUUUUUAUUCCUAUGUGAUGGUGUGUGUGUGUCUCGCCUAGGGGUGAAAGCCAUGGG